rnacentral:lncRNA from 1 species
GCGGAUCGCAAGGGGAAAAGACCCCGGAAGUACGCCAAAGUAUAAAACCUCAGGUUAAAAGGUCAAAACUAGUACUUGUCCUUCAAGUCGCCCACUUGGCCCUCUUCCAGAUCAUAUGAAGUGUGCGUAUGGUACCUAUUGGAGCUAUCUUGAGCCCAUAUAAAGAGUAAGCUUUAGAAUGACGGCGACUCACAGAGAAAGCUAAGAAUCAUCAGAAAAUGAAAAUCGAUACGGCACUGUGUGCUAAUGGGCUGCCCACUCCUUCCUGAAACUACAAACUUGGAGGUCAUGUGUUGAGAUGGCAAGAACAAGAUGGAGGCAACUUGGAUCCUAGAGGAACAAGAUUGAGGAGAAUGUGCCCCUUUCCUCCUACCAGCCCAUGUUUAAUUGGGCAUAAAAAAAGAAAUAUGGAUGGAGACCACAUGAAAAUUGAAGGCAAGAGGAUGUAUGGUGUCUUCAAGAAUACCAAAGAAAUCGGUUUUGAUGUUCAACGUUUCAUGCAAGUUCAAAAAACUUGAUUCUGGUAGCAAAAUUAUAGCAGGAAGAGGAAGCAGGACACCAGAGGCUUUUCUUUUCAUGGUGAGUGUCAAACUGAAGCAUAGCCAUCCGUACUUUUUAAUGGAAUGAACAAGCUGUGCUCUCUAAAAACCAGAAUAACUAUUAAUAUCAUCAUCAGCUAUGGAAAUACAGUGGCAGAAUGUGUUAUGUCCCUAGCAACAAUCCUUUUUCUCCUCAGAACUCACCUUGCUUACAUCAUUUCUCACCUUAAGAAAUCAAUUAAUUCGAAGACUUCCUCCACCUAUCCCACUCUAAGACUUAAGAGUCUAAGAGAUAAACAAUACAAUUUGUUCUCUCAUUUUCUCUACAGAGACCUCCUAUUCAGAAUUGGGUUUGGGCUCUGCCUUGCCUCAGGAAGUUAAUAAAAUUCACUUUUCAUGUAAUCUGA